AUCACCUCCUAAUAUAUCUGCCUCGUCAAGAUGAAUUGGAGGCGUUUAAGGAUUUGAAACUCAUCCUGAAAUAUCUGUGGACUGUGCUGAGAUGAGUGGUUCGGCGAGGCGGACCUUGGAAACACUUACAUGGCCAUCACGACUGAAGUGGUGUUCACCGACAGGUAAAAUGCAGGUGCAACCUUCACAGACUGACAGAGAUUGAGUGAUAACAGACACUGGAGACCCUCCAAGCGAUGGCUGGUGACCGCCUGCCACCAUCCACAGGCUGUUACACAAGGAGCCCUUGGAGUAACCUUGCUGGAAGCCCCGCGGGCCGCAGUGUGUGGCUGGCGUUAUACAGCCCCCAGCCAUCGCCUGGAGGGCAUCCAGUGUCUGUUAUCACUCACCUUAGGUAGUCUGUGAAGGUCCAGUCAUCACUGGUGCACGUGUAUCUUACCUGUGAUCAACACCGGCAGCCACAGACUCCUGCCCAAGGAACGAACACAGUGAUCGUGAUGACAUUGACAACAACGAGCAAGUCCUCCUUGACCUACAGUGACCUCAAGCUGGGCCAAACAUGAUGUGGAAGAAGAAAUCAGUUGUCUCCAUCAGUCGGGUUUGUGCCAUGGCAGCUUUCUCCAGCUGUCCGGCAGAGGUCCAGUCCAUGCCAUGGAGAAAUUCAGCCCCCAACAAUGAGAUGGCAUGCCAGAGAUGGAUCCGCAGCUUCUCCUCCAAUCAGUCAAUCCUUGCAAUCCCUUUUCUCUUUUCUCUCC